rnacentral:lncRNA from 1 species
UUAUUUCUUUACUCUCCCUCUUUCAUUGUUUAUUUCUCUACUCCCCCUCACUAUAGCAAUUAUAAAAGAUAUAUCAAUUUGCUCAUUUAGAAGAUAUUGCUAUUCAUGAUAUUUCAUCACACAUAUAUGAGUCAUUUUUCAUAUCUUAUAAUUAAAACAUUUUAAUUGAUCCCAUUCAUAAAUAUUAAUCCAAAGACAUUCAUUGAAAUUCAAAGCAUAAAAAAAAUGUAUAUGUCAAAAUGUGACUGAUUACAUUAAGUCAAAAUACAUAAAUUAUACAAAAAUCAUGGAUAACAACUAUC